rnacentral:lncRNA from 1 species
GUGAGAUGUCAUCAUGGACCAAUGUCUCUGCUUCAGGACAAAAAUAAACCUCCUGCACUUGUUUACACAACAUGGAGUGACAUGAGGACAUGUGAGGGUGUGUCUGUGUAACAUUGUCACACACGCCCUCUAGUGAAAGGCAUGUGAAACUGCAGCACAGAAAUAACCUGUUACGAUCCUCCUGAAAAUCACAGGAAACAGGUUUUUUCAAGCCUUGUUGUACAGGAAGUUUGCAUGUUCUCCUCCCUCUGAUGUCAACAGUCGUUUCUUUUGUCCGUAGUAAAAACUCUGAUUACGUCUGUUUUUUAAAAAGUCACAGGGACACAUCGGUCAGCACAUGUUGGACAACACGACGUCAAACGUGAUGUUGGACAGUUAAAAAGCAACAAUUUACAGAAAAUGACAUAAUGAUUAAAACACAGUUUUCCUUUAAAACCUUUAUUUUAUUGAAGCUUAUAUGAGCUGCUGUGGUCCACACAGUGGAAAUAAACCUCAUCCUGACUAAAGAUCUCAUCUACGUUCUCUCCCUCAGUCAGGAUUCAUCCUUUGGUUUCCUUUCACAACAGGUCGUAUUCAUGUCAUGGCACAUUUGUCUGAAACUACUUUAUAUUAUUUAUCACAGCAGGACCACAACAAUGUGACCUGAGGGUCACAUGAUCAACAUUCAUGUCAGCAUUUAGAAUAAUGAAUUUUGUUUUAAUGGUUAGGAUUUGGGCUUAUUUUUCUGUACUUCUGUCAUUGUGUAUUUUUUUAGUUACUUUGUGUAUUUAUUUUGGCAUUUAGUAUAUUUUUCAGUAAGUUUUGUGUACAUUAGUAGUAAUUUUGUGUUUUGGGGCCAAUUUGUGUAUUUUUCAAUGUUAUGAGUCAUUUUAAGUAUUUCUGUUGUUCUUUUGUUUAUUUUAAUGUUUUUUUGUACAUUUUAAGUUUUCGUGUGUUUUUGGGGUAGUGUUGUGUGUUUUUAUUUUCCAUUAGUAUAUUUUUGGAGUAAUUUGUCCAUGUUUGUUAUUAUUUUGUAUAUUUCUCUGUUGUUUUGUGUGUUUGUGGUCAUUUAGUUAUUUUGUGUUAUUAGUAAUACAGGAAGGAUCAAAGGGUUUGUGUGUCUUCAGAAACAUUAUGUGAGGUCAUUCUGAGCACUGAGGUUAAGUUAAAUCCUGUCCCUUCUGUGCAUGUAAAUACUGUAUUUACAGUAA